CGCCUCUUUCGAUUACAGAAUUAGUAAGAAGUUAAUAUAUAGUACGAAAUAGAUAGAUGUUAACAAAUUAAAUAACACCUAACUAUAAAAUAGAUAAAAUUUAAAUGAAAAGUUUCAGCUCAAGUAUGUAAAAUUGAGGAAUAAUCUCUACUAUUAUAUAGAAAUAUUAAGAUAUGUCAUUCUCCCAACACAAGAAAAGUUACUCCAUAAUGGAGUUAGUACUGACAACGAAAAUAUUCUUGCCCAUUAAAUAAGAAAAUAGAAAAAAAUAUUCAAGGAGAAUAAUUUUCACUAUUUAAUUAAAAAUGAGAACUAGAGUAAUUUCCUACACUAAAUAACUGAAAACGAAGAAGAAAGAAAAUGGCUUAAGAUGGAGAACACAUUCCCCAUGUUAUAUGCAAGGUCAAUAAAAUUCUCGAGAGAGUGAGUUUCUGAUCAUUUAUAUUUGCUCCCC
rnacentral:lncRNA from 1 species